GGAUGUGAGGGUGAUCUGGCCGUGAUAUCCAUCACCCCAUUGAUCGCCAGGGUUGAUUCAGCUGAUGUGGCUGGCUAGGCGGGUGUCCCCUUCCUCCCUCGUCACUCCAUGUGUGUCCCUCCUGAAGCUGCAUGCUUGGUCAAAGAGGAUGAUCUUCCUCCAUAGAGGAGGACCGUUCUUCAGUCAAGGUUAUACGAGUAGCUGCGCUCCCCUGCUAGAACCUCCAAACAAUCUCUCAAGGUCCAAAAUGGCCACAGGAAGUGGCAGAAGUUUCCUAAUUUAGGAAUGGCAAACUUCCUGGGGGUUGAAGGUCUAU
rnacentral:snRNA from 1 species